GGAUGCAAGGGCAAUCUGGCUGCUACAUCUGUUACUCCAUUGAUUUGAGCGAUCUGGCUGGCUAGGCGAGCCUUCCUCCAUCAUGGCUCCAUGUGUGUGUCCCUCCAGAAGCUCUGUGCUGAGACGAUGACCUUCCCCAACAGGAGAGGACAAUUCUUCUGUCAAGAGCAUAGGAGUAGCUGUGCUCCCAUACUAAAAUCUCCAAACAAGCUCUUAAGGACCAUUUGUAGUACAAUGUAGAGUACUCAAGCUUCCAAGACUCUAGACACAGCUAAAUGAGGUGCUGUAUGUGGCAGUCUGUCUUUCUUA
ensembl:misc_RNA 7SK 7SK RNA